CAAGUCACGGGGGUCCCGCAAGGGAUAACCGGCGAACGGGUGCGUAACACGUGAACAACCUGCCCUCGUGUGGGGGAUAGCCGGGCUAACGCCCGGGUAAUACCGCAUACGUUCCUCUGGGGGAGUCCCCGGGGGAGGAAAGCUCCGGCGCACGGGGAGGGGUUCGCGGCCUAUCAGCUAGUUGGCGGGGUAACGGCCCACCAAGGCGACGACGGGUAGCUGGUCUGAGAGGAUGGCCAGCCACAUUGGGACUGAGAGACGGCCCAGACUCCUACGGGAGGCAGCAGUGGGGAAUCUUGCGCAAUGGUCUAACGACUGACGCAGCGACGCCGCGUGUGGGAGGACGCCUUUCGGGGUGUAAACCACUGUUGCCCGGGACGAACACCUCUUUUCGAAGAGGCUGACGGUACCGGGUGAGGAAGCACCGGCUAACUCCGUGCCAGCAGCCGCGGUAAUACGGAGGGUGCGAGCGUUGUCCGGAAUCAUUGGGCGUAAAGGGCGCGUAGGUGGCCCGGUCAGUCUUUGGUGAAAGCGCGGGGCUCAACCCUGCGUCGGCCAGGGAUACUGCCGCGGCUCGAGCACUGUAGAGGCAGGCGGAAUUCCGGGUGUAGCGGUGGAAUGCGUAGAGAUCCGGAAGAACACCGGUGGCGAAGGCGGCCUGCUGGGCAGUUUAGCUGACACUGAGGCGCGACAGCGUGGGGAGCAAACAGGAUUAGAUACCCUGGUAGUCCACGCCGUAAACGAUGGGCACUAGGCGCUGGGGGGAGCGACCCCCCGAGGGCCGGCGCUAACGCAUUAAGUG
rnacentral:rRNA from 1 species